rnacentral:lncRNA from 1 species
AGGGGGCCACUAUACUUUUAAUAAUAAAGAAGAUAUAAGUCCUGGAAUAUAACAAAAUUCAUGGACAUGUUUUGUUCAUAUAAUACCAGUAUAUUUCGUUGGGAAAGUUUCUUCAAAAGAAAAAUACUGAUGUGCCCUUUUGUACUAGCUAAGAAGUGGUUUUUACAACAAAACAAAAGCUUUUAUCACAUGAAAUUCAUCCCUCAUUUCAUGUGUAAUCAUUACAUUGAAGGGUUACUCUCAUUCGAGGGAUUGUUCCCAACCUUUUGGACAGUUUUCUUUCCUUGACCAUCGUAAAUGAAAAAGUUGAGACGUAAUUGUAUGCUUGAAACACGUGUGUCACUAAAACGACUUUACAGUAGACUCCCUAAGCAAUUACCUAUAUUAAAGUCAAAGGAUAAUUAAAGUUUUAAAUCGGAGAUUUUUCUUGCUUUUGAACAUUUUUCG